rnacentral:sRNA from 1 species
UGGGUUCAAACCCCACUUCUGACAUAAUUAACUUAAAAUAGACAUACUGUGUGAAAAAACAGAAGAAGAUUAACCAACAAAAUAAC